ensembl:misc_RNA
CGGAUUGCUUUUAAGUCUGAAGGAUUCCUUCAAAAUCUUGAAAUGUCUUUUAUAUUUGAAAAUGUGCAUGCAUGUGCAUUCAUGAAGGGCAGAGAAAUGACGAAUGUUCUCAUCUGAGUUACAAUCAAACUUAUGUAGGCAGCUGCUGUGAGCUUUGUUAUUACAAUUUUGGCCUAACACACCAGCUGGAAAAC